rnacentral:rRNA from 1 species
AUUGAACGCUGGCGGCAGGCCUAACACAUGCAAGUCGAACGGUAACAGGAAGCAGCUUGCUGCUUCGCUGACGAGUGGCGGACGGGUGAGUAAUGUCUGGGAAGCUGCCUGAUGGAGGGGGAUAACUACUGGAAACGGUAGCUAAUACCGCAUAAUGUCGCAAGACCAAAGAGGGGGACCUUCGGGCCUCUUGCCAUCGGAUGUGCCCAGAUGGGAUUAGCUUGUUGGUGGGGUAACGGCUCACCAAGGCGACGAUCCCUAGCUGGUCUGAGAGGAUGACCAGCCACACUGGAACUGAGACACGGUCUAGACUCCUACGGGAGGCAGCAGUGGGGAAUAUUGCACAAUGGGCGCAAGCCUGAUGCAGCCAUGCCGCGUGUAUGAAGAAGGCCCUCGGGUUGUAAAGUACUUUCAGCGGGGAGGAAGGGAGUAAAGUUAAUACCUUUGCUCAUUGACGUUACCCGCAGAAGAAGCACCGGCUAACUCCGUG